UUCCGGUUGAUCCUGCCGGAGGUCACUGCUAUUGGGAUUCGACUAAGCCAUGCGAGUCGAGAGGGUUCGGCCCUCGGCUGACUGCUCAGUAACACGUGGAUAAUCUGCCCUAAGGUGGAGGAUAAUCUCGGGAAACUGAGAAUAAUACUCCAUAGGUCUAAGAUACUGGAAUGUUCUUAGGCUGAAAACUCCGGUGCCUUAGGAUGAGUCUGCGGACUAUCAGGUUGUAGUCAGGGUAAAGACCUGACUAGCCUACGACGGAUAUGGGUUGUGGGAGCAAUAACCCAGAGAUGAUAUCUGAGACACGAUAUCAGGCCCUACGGGGCGCAGCAGGCGCGAAAACUUCACACUGCGCGAAAGCGCGAUGAGGGAAUCCCAAGUGCUUGCACGUAAGUGUAAGCUGUUUCUUUGUUUAAAAAGCAUAGAGAGUAAGGGCUGGGUAAGACGGGUGCCAGCCGCCGCGGUAAUACCUGCAGCUCAAGUGGUGAUCGUUAUUAUUGGGCCUAAAACGUUCGUAGCCGGUUUAGUAAAUGCCUGGGUAAAUUGUGUAGCUCAACUAUACGAAUUCCGGGUAGACUGCUAAACUUGAGACCGGGAGAGGCUAGAGGUACUCCUGGGGUAGAGGUGAAAUUCUGUAAUCCUAGGGGGACCACCAGUGGCGAAGGCGUCUAGCUAGAACGGGUCUGACGGUGAGGGACGAAGCCCUGGGGCGCGAACCGGAUUAGAUACCCGGGUAGUCCAGGGUGUAAACGCUGCUUGCUUGAUGUUAGUCGGGCUCCGAGCCCGAUUAGUGUCGGAGAGAAGUUGUUAAGCAAGCUGCCUGGGAAGUACGGUCGCAAGACUGAAACUUAAAGGAAUUGGCGGGGGAGCACAGCAACAGGUGGAGCGUGCGGUUUAAUUGGAUUCAACGCCGGG
rnacentral:rRNA from 1 species